GGUUGUAUAGUGUAGCGGUUAGCACUUCGGAUUCUGAUUACCCCAGAUCGGAAAAUUCCGGCAACCCCGGUUCGAUUCCGGGUACGACCU